rnacentral:rRNA from 1 species
UACGUAGGGUGCGAGCGUUGUCCGGAAUUAUUGGGCGUAAAGAGCUCGUAGGCGGUUUGUUGCGUCUAUCGUGAAAACCUGCAGCUUAACUGUGGGCUUGCGGUGGAUACGGGCAGACUUGAGUUCGGUAGGGGAGACUGGAAUUCCUGGUGUAGCGGUGAAAUGCGUAGAUAUCUGGAGGAACACCGGUGGCGAAGGCGGCAUCCUGGACCAAUACUGACGCUGAGGAGCGAAAGCCAGGGGAGCAAACGGG